UGGUUUACCAUUACCGAUGGAGUCAUCUUCUCCGUUAGCUGGCAAAACACACCACCUCCUGGUGGGCCCCAUUUAGUGAUCUGGGACGUCCAUCAGAUGGACCAUCAUGCCAGAAACACAUCCAUGUGGAAGCCUUAUAGCCUUUCACAGGGGAUUCCACUCGAUCAGCAAUUCUCGGGGCGUUUAGUUUGUGUGAAAAUGCAAACUACGGCUAAUCCCGGAUUAGCAUUCUAAACCCCAAAAGGUUGCUAACGUGGCUUAUAAAAGCCCUCCCUUUAGGGCAGCCAUCCGAAAAGGAAAGAAAAAAAAAAGGGAAAACGCGAAAGAGAAACGAAAGAGGGAGGAAUCGAGCGCCGCUGCCGCACCAGGUUGGGUCGGGCCGACUCAUUCCAGGAGUUGCUGGGAUGGAGAGAAAGGAGAAGAAAGGAAAGAAGAAGAAGAAAGAAAGAAAACCAGAGAGUAGGCGGGAGAGAUGAAGAGCUGUCCGACCUACUGUUGCACUAAAUGUUGCCGCACCGGCUCGUGUUGCUGCUGAGCUCGGGUCGAGCCAACAAGGGUUGGGUCGGGCAUGCUCCAGACCGGGCUGGAGUUGUAGUGAGAAGAAAGGGGAGGUGAGAAAGAACGGAGAGAGAGCAGCCAGAGGGAGAAAGAAAGAGGAAAUGAGGAGGUGAUGGGUGCUUGCUGUCCCAACCCAAUCUAGCCAGGUCGAGCGCAACCCAGUCGCUGACUGGUCCAGGUCGCUGGACGGUGCAAUGGAGAGAGAAGGAAGAAAAUAGGAAGCGAAAGAGGGAAAGAAAGGAAGAAGGAAAAAGGGAAGAAAAGAGAGAGAGAAAGUUGGGAGUCGAGUCAACUCGCUGCUGAGUUGAGUCCGAGUUGACUCGGUCCAGAUUCUUGCUGGACAUUCCAGCAAAAAAAAAAAGGAAAGAAGAAGAAGGAAAAAGGAAAAAAAAGAGAGGAAUAGAAGAGGGAGAGAGAGAUAGUUUGAUUUCCUUGAGACUGCCGGGUCGACUCGGCUGAAACCGAGUCUGACUGGACCGAGUUGGAUUUAGUCCUGAUUCGGGUUGGAUACUUGCUGGAGUUCCAGCAGGGAAGAAAGAAAAAGAGGAGCAUGGGAAGAAGAGAUAUAAGAGAGAAAGAAAGAAGGGAGAGUUUGAGUUCGGGAGGUGAGUUGACUCGACGAUCUUGCGGUUUAAACUAAAUUGAGGCCAUGACAAGGAUGAGUCGACAACUAGGUAUUUAGUAGAGACUACAUUAGUUCGCUCUCAUCGAAGUCAAUUGGGUGUGGACAUUGCUAUUGGACUCAAGUUGAUUCCAUCUCAUAAUUAAUCAAAGGUGAAUCUAGGAGCGUGGACGGGAAAGGAUGCAAAAAGUAUGGAUUUAAUGCUCAAGCAUCACCAAGGCAAUGGACGAGACUCCAUGGGAUCAAGAUUGAAGAAUUUACACACCCAGGAUCCAAGAAAAUCAAGCCAUUUAGGUUAAAGAGGCCCAAAAGUCGUCCAAGAUGCAAGAUCACAGGGUUUCCACCAUCCGUUCGGCUUGAAACUUCA